rnacentral:pre_miRNA from 1 species
AUACAAAUCAUCUAGAGAGCUUGUUGAAAGGCAGGUUCUGAUUCAGGCGGUCAGGUGGGGCCUGAGAGUCUGCAUUUCUAACAAGUACCCAGGGGAUUCCAAU